rnacentral:rRNA from 1 species
UACGAAGGGGGCUAGCGUUGCUCGGAAUCACUGGGCGUAAAGCGCACGUAGGCGGACUCUUAAGUCAGGGGUGAAAUCCUGGAGCUCAACUCCAGAACUGCCUUUGAUACUGGGAGUCUUGAGUUCGGGAGAGGUGAGUGGAACUGCGAGUGUAGAGGUGAAAUUCGUAGAUAUUCGCAAGAACACCAGUGGCGAAGGCGGCUCACUGGCCCGAUACUGACGCUGAGACGCGAAAGCGUGGGGAGCAAACAGG